GUUCUCCCCCGAACAGCAUUUCUUUGCGGGGGUGAGCAAAGGCCUGGAUGGAAAGCCUGGCUGUUGAAGAAUGGUUCUUAGAGAGGCCAGUUAGCUGGUGCCUAUGUUAGUUUUCUGUAGCCUGUGUCCAAGCAGACACUGAUUUGCCCCGCAACCUCGCCCCCCUUAACUUCAGGCAUGGCAGAGGGAAAGGGACUUGCUUAUUUGGGACUUGGGGACAAGAAGGAAGCCGCAUCAGUCACUCAAGCCCCCACACUCCCACCCCUCUGCUCAGGACUGCUGCUUGGAAGCACCGGGUAUUUUUCCACUGGAGAAGUGCUUAGUGGCUGUGGUGAUAAAAACUCCUCCUUGAAGAUGACUCAGCUGCUCUGGUCUUCUGCCAAAGUCUUGUUCAAGAGGGAGUUGAAGGAGGCUCCAGACGGGGAGGAUGGAACACCUACAGCCGGCAAGAAACGUACAGUGUAUGCAGUAAGCCAGAGAAGACCCUCUUAGGCAUUCAGAAGAAGGAGAGAGAGAGACUCCCAGAUUCAGGAUAAGUUCUGGGUGCUGGAGUACAGCAGAGGCCAGUGCAGUCAAGACCAGUGUCCCCAUGAAAUUCACUUUCUAGUUGGAGACACAUCCAAAACAGAAGACGCCUUGGGUUUUGAAUACAUGAACAUGUGACCACACACCUAAGUGUGAUCCUUAGCAACCACCACAAAUCAAACAGGAGUGAUGCCGUGUUUGGACCAGAUCUGAUUUCAUAGAGAUCAUCAAUAAAAUCGGGUUCCAAGUCUUCCCAAACUGGAGCAGAUUAUAAUGAUACAUGGAGGGAGUUGCCCAGUGGUACCAGACAGCUCAAGAAGUUUCAGGGCUGAGUGGCAGUGAGGAUGAUGAGCAGUGGACAUGUUCUGGGACAUAAGAUGAGCACCGCCUGUGACUGAUCAGAACUGAAAAAGUUUGUUGUUGACAAGCACUGGCCACACAAUGGGCAUGAAGACAAGGGAGAGGAGGUAUGAAGAACUAAGGACAACUCUGCAUUCAAUUUGCCACAUGCAUUAACUUAUGUAAGUCAGUGCCUGCAUGGAGGAGAAAGGGUGUCCACACUCCAGUCCCCUAUUACGCAUAUCUGGGUCAUCUGUUGCAAAUUUCCGAAAGAUUGACUGUUGACCGUAAGAGUUACUUAUGUCCUUUCUAAGGAUUGAAAAAUUAAGUUUCCAGCUACUUGAAUGCAGCGUCCUGUCUCACCUCCACCAUCAUCUCCGAGAACCCCACCCUGCAGAGAUCUCAUUUGGAAUAGUGUGAGUUGAGAGCGGUCUACCACUCAAAAGUUCGCUUUGAUAAUAAAGCUGUCCCUUUAUUUGCCAGUGAUGUCUUAAAGUUGCAAGUUCCAUUUCCACAGCCCAGCCAUAAACAAAUAUAUCGGUUUUAAAUGGAUUCUUCACACUCUGGCAGCUUGAUCACCACUUUCCAUACCCACAAUUGAUAGAAAAAGAUGAAAGAUAAGGGAACAAAGGGUGAAAAUGUAACAGCUAGAGAGAGCGCUCCAGGGUGGUUAAAAAGCUGCCUAGUGGCUACAGGAAGACACUAAGGCAGCAGCCCCGACACCAGGGUCAUGCCAGAGGGGACCCUCCAGGGCUGCCAAGCCCCUGAGGCUCUUACUCAUGCUUGAAGGUGAGCCUUUUGAAGAGCUACUUGCCCAACCCAGCCUGCAGAGGUGAGUCAGGUGGUCGCCAUCUCCUUGAUGAGUUUCACUUCCUCAUCCAGAAAGCACUUCUCCCCGAAGCUACAGAACCCGUGGCAUGCAGCUCCCAAAGUGCCUGUUUCAGGUUCUCUAGAAUCAUGGCAACUUUCUUGGCCUCAAGGUUUUACCCCACUCAUCUUGAAACAGCUUCUGCAAGUCCUCGAAGAGGGCACUGGUUUCUUCAAAAGAUGCCGGGUGCCCUUAAGGUUCUCCUCAGCCAACUCUUCGAAUGAGUGUCCCAUGCCCUCCAGAGCCACAUCCUGGAGGUGAAAAGAGAAGCCCAGAGAAAGAGGAAUUCCAGUAUUUUAUACCUGAAAGGGAGCUGAGACAUCACCAUCUCCAGCAUCAGUGACUUUUAUGAGAAGAAACGGAGACCAGACACAAAAAGUGAGUGGAACAAGGUCACACAAACUAUAGCAGAUCAGGGAUGAACAGGCAUAUACCUUGACUCUGACAGGCAUACCACCUAGUGGUAUGUUCUUUCUAACAUACCACAUGGUUUCCUAAGUGCUUUGGUUAAUAUUGUUAAUAUUUUUAGAACAAACAAGAGGAACUUGGUCCCAUGUAAUGGAAAAAUAUAGUAAUAACUUUUUGGUAUUUUCCCAAAUGAAAAUAGUAGCAUGGAUAAUAAAUAUGCAAAGCAAUAGUAAUUUAUACACAUUAAAUACAUUAAGGCUAAUCGUUAUCGCAUACUAUCAUGUGUCAUUGUAUGAAGCACAAAGUAUGCAUUAAGUCAUGUUUUCCUUAAAAAGAUAGGGGAGUAAGGGCACCUGGGUGGCUCAGUCAGUUGAGCCUCUGGCUUGAUUUCAGC